rnacentral:rRNA from 1 species
GAUGAACGCUAGCGGCAGGCUUAAUACAUGCAAGUCGAGGGGCAGCAGGACUGUAGCAAUACAGUUGCUGGCGACCGGCAAACGGGUGCGGAACACGUACGCAACUUACCCUUGUCUGGGGCAUAGCCCACCGAAAGGUGGAUUAACUCCCUAUAAGAUAGUGGUGUGGCAUCACACAGCUAUUAAAACUGAGGUGGACAAGGAUGGGCGUGCGGCUGAUUAGGUAGUUGGUGCGGGUAACGGCCCACCAAGCCUGCGAUCAGUAACUGGUGUGAGAGCACGACCAGUCACACGGGCACUGAGACACGGGCCCGACUCCUACGGGAGGCAGCAGUAAGGAAUAUUGGUCAAUGGAGGCAACUCUGAACCAGCCAUGCCGCGUGGAGGAUGAAGGCCCUCUGGGUUGUAAACUUCUUUUACAGGGGACGAAACACUUCUAUUCUUAGGAGCUUGACGGUACCCUGGGAAUAAGCACCGGCUAACUCCGUGCCAGCCGCCGCAGUAAAAC